UACAUGUGUAGGAUAGGUGGGAGGCUAUGAAGACGUGACGCCAGUUGCGUUGGAGCCGUCCUUGAAAUACCACCCUUGUAUGUUUGAUGUUCUAACUUAGACCCGUUAUCCGGGUUGAGGACAGUGCCUGGUGGGUAGUUUGACUGGGGCGGUCUCCUCCCAAAGAGUAACGGAGGAGCACGAAGGUGGGCUAAUCACGGUUGGACAUCGUGAGG
rnacentral:rRNA from 1 species